rnacentral:rRNA from 1 species
UACGUAGGGAGCAAGCGUUGUCCGGAAUCAUUGGGCGUAAAGCGCGCGUAGGUGGCUUCGUAAGUCCGUUGUGAAAGUCAAAGGCUCAACCUUUGAAAGCCGAUGGAUACUGUGAAGCUAGAGUACGGAAGAGGCGAGUGGAAUUCCUGGUGUAGCGGUGGAAUGCGCAGAUAUCAGGAGGAACACCGAUGGCGAAGGCAGGUCACUGGGCCGCAACUGACGCUGAGGAGCGAAAGCAUGGGGAGCGAACAGG